CCUACGGGGGACAGCAGUGGGGAAUAUUGCUCAAUGGACGAGAGUCUGAUCCAGCCAAGUAGCGUGAAUGAUGACUGCCCUAUGGGUUGUAAGCUUCUUUUAUAAAGGAGUAAAACGAGACGCGUGUGCCUUUUUGCAUGUACUUUAUGAAUAAGAAUCGGCUAACUCCGUGCCAGCAGCCGCGGUAAUACGGAGGAUCCGAGCGUUAUCCGGAUUUAUUGGGUUUAAAGGGAGCGUAGAUGGGUUGUUAAGUCAGUUGUGAAAGUUUGCGGCUCAACCGUAAAAUUGCAAUUGAUACUGGCAGGCUUGAGUACAGUUGAGGUAGGCGGAAUUCGUGGUGUAGCGGUGAAAUGCUUAGAGAUCACGAAGAACCCCGAUUGCGAAGGCAGCUUACUAAACUGUGACUGACAUUGAUGCUCGAAAGUGUGGGUAUCAAACAGGAUUAGAUACCCCUGUAGUC
rnacentral:rRNA from 1 species